GGGUGAUAGUCCCGUACACCAAAAUGCACAGGCUGUGAACUCGAAGAGUAGGGCGGGACACGUGGUAUCCUGUCUGAAUAUGGGGGGACCAUCCUCCAAGGCUAAAUACUCCUGACUGACCGAUAGUGAACCAGUACCGUGAGGGAAAGGCGAAAAGAACCCCGGCGAGGGGAGUGAAAAAGAACCUGAAACCGUGUACGUACAAGCAGUGGGAGCACCUUCGGGUGUGACUGCGUACCUUUUGUAUAAUGGGUCAGCGACUUAUAUUCUGUAGCAAGGUUAACCGUAUAGGGGAGCCGCAGGGAAACCGAGUCUUAACUGGGCGUUAAGUUGCAGGGUAUAGACCCGAAACCCGGUGAUCUAGCCA
rnacentral:rRNA from 1 species